rnacentral:SRP_RNA from 10 species
GCUGAGGUGUGGUGGUACACAUGUGUAGUCCCAGCUACUCCGGAGACUGAGGCCAGAGGAUCGCUUGAGCCCAGCCAGGAGUUUUGGGCUGCAGUGCGCUGUGCUGAUUGGGUGUCCACACUAAGUUCAUCACCAAUAUGGUGAACUCCCUGGAGCCGAGGACCAACAGGUUGGCUAGGGAGGGAUGAAUUGGCCCAGGUUGGAAAUGGAGCAGGUCAAAAUUUCCAUGCUGAUUAGUAGUGGGAUGGUGCCUGCGAAUAGCCACUGCACUCUGGCCUGGCCAACAUAGCAAGACCCUGUCU